GACGUAGGAGGCGAGCGUUAUCCGGAUUCACUGGGCGUAAAGCGCAUGUAGGCGGAUGUCUAAGUCGUGUGUUAAAGCCCCUGGCUCAACUGGGGGAGGUCAUGCGAGACUGGAUGACUUGAGGGCAACAGAGGCACGUGGAACUCCCGGUGUAGCGGUGGAAUGCGUAGAGAUCGGGAAGAACACCCGUGGCGAAGGCGGCGUGCUGGGUUGCAACUGACGCUGAGAUGCGAAAGUGUGGGAGCAAACGGG
rnacentral:rRNA from 1 species